AAAAUAGAUUCAUGUAUGAGUGCUGAUUGUUAAAUACCUCGUGUAGGAUCUAAAUUAAGUUUUUUUAGUUAAUGCAAACUCUAUAAUCAAUCCCCCAAUCCUAUGCUUACACUAACUCUAAAUGUAUACCGACCCUAAUCCUAAAUGUUAACCCUUACUCUAACCCUAAGGAAUACACUCUGAUAAUAUCAAUACUGAUAUCAGCAGAUGGACUUCCAAGCUAAAACAGUAGACAGAGGUCUGUGACCACCACCUACUGGCUAUUUUCAGCAUGACGGAGGUCUCCCUGUAAUGCUGAACCUCCAGCAUGUUUCCCCUGCUGUUCACUCUUUGAUCUAUGUUGGGUUGUUGGCAAAGCCCAUCACCGAUCACAAUCAGUAGGAGGGCAUGCAAGGAGACCUUGUAAUUGGCUGUUCAGACCCUUGAGCAGCCGAGAAUCACUGCAAGCAGAGUGCAGUCUGCUCAGCCAUGGUGUUUUCAAUGGAUCUAUGUCUUUCCAUUCAUUAUUAAGCUGUUUUGCUGAAUUUUUACUCACAAUGAGCUCAUUGGUUUUUCCGGUGCCACUAAAUAUAGCCACAGCAGAUUGAUACCUGCAUCUCCCUGGUGUGAGCAGGUAUUUGACUCUGCUCACAUCAAACUUUCAAGCGAGGGAUUUAAAUCUCUAUUUAAAGAGCUAUAACCAGCGUUCACUUUGUCUUUGUUUACUGAGAAGUGUCAGUAAAAUGUCGGGUGCAAAGCACAGUAAUGGCUCCUUCACAUUCCAGUGCCCAUUAGUGAGUGUAGGACCGUAAGGAAGCAAUUACUGUGCUUUGCAACGGAUGGAGG